CCCCGCGGAGCGUGGACGCCAGGGCGAGGAUGCUCUAGAGGCAGAGAUCUUAGGGGGACGUCGCCCUCCCCUAGGGCACUGCUCCACGCCUCGGCCACCUCCUACCCUGGCUUUCUUCCUCCUGAUUUUGUGUCUUGUCAUUUCCGAGUCAUCUUACCUCCAGUUUUCCAGAAAGUAAUUUGGAUUUUUCUGUAAUUCCUGUGCAUUUCCAGUACUGCCGACAGAAGUAAACCGGUGGAUGAACGGGCUGAACAAGAAUUCUGGAGGUUGGGAAGUUAUGAUCAAGGCAUCAGUAGAUUCAGUGUCUGGUGAGGACCCACUUACUCGUCAUAAACUGGUGAUUGGCUGAUUCCUGAAAGCUUAUUUAACACAUGUGCAAUUGAGAAAUGCUGCUCUAGACUCGCAGUACCUGAAGGAU